CAGUCGUGUGAUGAUUACCCACAAUGUAUUGAUGAUUGCAUGAAAAUAUCUUACAUGCACUACCAUCUGAGGGCUG